rnacentral:misc_RNA from 1 species
AACCUUAUGGACCUGCGGGCGUAUACCUGCGGAGGGAUCAUUACUGAGUGAGGGCUCACGCCCGACCUCCAACCCUUUGUGAACCAAACUUGUUGCUUCGGGGGCGACCCUGCCGACGACUCCGUCGCCGGGCGCCCCCGGAGGUCUUCUAAACACUGCAUCUUUGCGUCGGAGUUUAAACAAAUUAAACAAAACUUUUAACAAUGGAUCU